AGAAGCACCGGCUAACUCCGUGCCAGCAGCCGCGGUAAUACGGAGGGUGCAAGCGUUAAUCGGAAUUACUGGGCGUAAAGCGCACGCAGGCGGUUUGUUAAGUCAGAUGUGAAAUCCCCGGGCUCAACCUGGGAACUGCAUCUGAUACUGGCAAGCUUGAGUCUCGUAGAGGGGGGUAGAAUUCCAGGUGUAGCGGUGAAAU
rnacentral:rRNA from 2 species